UCCCUAGUGGCUCAGUGGUAAAGUAUCUGCCUGCAAUGCAGGAGACCUGGGUUCGACCCCUGGGUUGGGAA
rnacentral:tRNA from 1 species